UUCUCUGUAGUUGCCAGCAGGUUACGCUGGGCACUCUACAGAGACUGCGGUGACAAGCCGGAGGAAGGUGGGGAUGACGUCAAGUCCUCAUGGCCCUUACAUCCAGGGCUACACACGUACUACAAUGGCCGGUACAGAAGGUUGCAAGACCGCAAGGUUGAGCUAAUCCCCAAAACCCGGCCUCAGUUCAGAUUGGAGUCUGCAACUCGACUCCAUGAAGGUGGAAUCGCUAGUAAUCGCUGAUCAGCAGGCAGCGGUGAAUACGUUCCCGGGCCUU
rnacentral:rRNA from 1 species